AUUGAACGCUGGCGGCAUGCUUUACACAUGCAAGUCGAACGGCAGCGCGGGCUUCGGCCUGGCGGCGAGUGGCGAACGGGUGAGUAAUGCAUCGGAACGUGCCCAGUAGUGGGGGAUAGGCCGGCGAAAGCCGGAUUAAUACCGCAUACGACCUGAGGGUGAAAGCGGGGGACCGAAAGGCCUCGCGCUAUUGGAGCGGCCGAUGUCGGAUUAGCUAGUUGGUGGGGUAAAGGCUUACCAAGGCGACGAUCCGUAGCUGGUCUGAGAGGACGACCAGCCACACUGGGACUGAGACACGGCCCAGACUCCUACGGGAGGCAGCAGUGGGGAAUGUUGGACAAUGGGGGCAACCCUGAUCCAGCCAUGCCGCGUGCGGGAAGAAGGCCUUCGGGUUGUAAACCGCUUUUGUUCGGGAAGAAAUCCUCUGGGCUAAUACCCCGGGGGGAUGACGGUACCGGAAGAAUAAGCACCGGCUAACUACGUG
rnacentral:rRNA from 1 species